UGGACCCGCAAAUGAGGUCGACCCGGGGGAUUCAACCGGGACCGUUGCGAUCGGGACGCGUGGGGGUUAUGCGGAGCUGUAAAGCCCGUGCCUCUGCGUGGGUCUCCGGGCGGACCGGUGCACUUUCCUCGGGUCGAUUGCCACGACCGGCUCUCCCUAGCGGCCACAAGCCAGUUGCCGGGAAGGUGACCGUGGGCCUCCGCGCCCGCGGUAGUUUACAGCCCGGCUCGCUGGUUGAGCUCGUGGGGGGGCCGAGGAAGUUGCCGUUUCUCGUAGCCCUCCGGCCAUCCUUGCUCGUCACGACUGGGGCGAACUGUCUGGUCAGUGCUCUCCCGACCGCGAGCGUAGGAAGGGCUGGUUACGGUGCGAGAAUUAGCUUCGGGCCGGUGGCGAAUCGGUCGGUCCUCCACCCGACCCGUCUUGAAACACGGACCAAG
rnacentral:rRNA from 1 species